UCAGGUCUGGACCGGGACCAGGACCAGGCUGCAGGGUCCAGUUCCCCCUGUUAGCCAAAACAAAAGUCUUCAGUUGAAGGUAUGACAUCACCGGAAGCCUCAAAACACCGUCCUCUGAGCUGCAGAGACUAUAAAUGCAACUAAUCUGCGUCAUCUGUGACCCCGACUUGGUGUAAUAGUCAUCUCGUACGUCUUUUCUGCCUGUAAAAAAAAAUAAAUGACUCAGUCAGUUGGUGGA